UAAAAGCUUGCAAGCCACAAAUAUUCGUCUUCUCUUCCCCACACUCCAUUAUUCGAACCAUUUCCUUAAGCAAAUUUGGAAGAAAAAGAUUACCCUGCUGUACGCCUGGCCCACACUUAUGCCUUGCCUUGUUUCCAAAUAAAUGCCAAAAGGCUUGGGGCGAGGGGGAUUCAAACCCCAGACCUUUGCUUCAAAUACCAAGUGUUUUACCACUGGGGCACAAUGCCAAUUCAUUUAUUUAGCGCCUUCUAUGAAACAUAUAUUAAAAAGGAGCGCUGAGUUUUGUUUUUUCAGCAAAGCCAACCGCCACCUAGGAUUAAUGGGUGGCUGUGUUUUUUUCUCUUUUUAAUUCCUAAUCCACUUUAAUUCAUUUAAAUAAAUUCAUUUCAAUAAUUAUUUCACUUUGUCCCACAAACUUGCAAAAAUCAUAACUUAUUUAUUUCAAAUCCAAAUUUCAUGGGAAUUUUUGUGUGG
rnacentral:lncRNA from 1 species